GUGAGGGGGUGACAGAGUGAGGGAAGGGGAUGACUGGUGACAGAGUGAGGGAGGGGAUGACUGUGACAGAGUGAGGGAGGGCGUGACUAGUGACAGAAGGAGGGAGGGAGUAGUGACAGAGGGAGGUGGUGACUAGUGACAGUGAGGGAGGUGGUGACUAGUGACAGUCACCACCUCCCUCACUCUGUCACUAGUCACCCCUUCCUUCCCUCACUGUGCCACUAGUCACCCCUUCCCUCACUCUGCCACUAGUCACCCCUUCCCUCACUCUGUCACUAGUCACCCCCUCAC